rnacentral:lncRNA from 1 species
AUGGAACUAUUUAGUUCCUUCUUAGUCACACCUGUUCAUCGUGGAAAUAAAGGAGCCUUCCACUGCGCCAAGAGUGGAAGGGGCCAGCGGCUGCCCGGCACGCAGUCUUCCUGCCGGGACUCACAGGGAAGAAGAGAAAGGAGAGAGACGCGGAAGAGCCUCAGACGCCAUCGGAAGAAAGGAUCCAAAGUCCCAAGGAAGCUGCUGCCCAAAUACACUGGCCUUUGUUGGAGAAUUCUUCCCCUCCUAAGUUUUUGCGCAUUUAUACGGAGAACACACCCCUUUACGUCCAGGGGACAGACCCGGACUUCUGUAAACCACCUGGAGACAGAGAGGAGAACACACCCCUUUACGUCCAGGGGACGGACCCCGACUUCUGUAAACCACCUGGAGACAGAGAGGAGAACACACCCCUUUACGUCCAGGGGACGGACCCCGACUUCUGUAAACCACCUGGAGACAGAGAGGAGAACACACCCCUUUACGUCCAGGGGACGGACCCCGACUUCUGUAAACCACCUGGAGACAGAGAGGAGAACACACCCCUUUACGUCCAGGGGAUGGACCCCGACUUCUGUAAACCACCUGGAGACAGAGAGGAGAACACACCCCUUUACGUCCAGGGGACGGACCCGGACUUCUGUAAACCACCUGGAGACAGAGAGGAGAACACACCUCUUCACGUCCAGGGGACGGACCCCGACUUCUGUAAACCACCUGGAGACAGAGAGGAGAACACACCCCUUUACGUCCAGGGGACGGACCCGGACUUCUGUAAACCACCUGGAGACAGAGAGGAGAUCUGCUUCUCCAAAACAAGACUCCCACGUGGUGCCUGAUGCUCCUCCAUCACCAGUUCACCUUUGGGUGUCGAGAACGGCCUCUCCCAGGCAUUCUCUGAAAACACACCCUCCUCCCAGGAGAGGGCAUGUGCCCAACCCCGUGCUCAUCAGCAUGCACGAUACUUUCAAAUUCUCAGCAAAGGAGAAAUCACGAAGAUUUAAGGCUACAAGGUGGAGCAAAGGCAACAGAAUUGGAGGUCAGGAGUAG